CGUGACCCCGCAUGUGCCCGGCCGUGCAGCGCGGGGAUGUUGCGCGGCGGGGCGGGCCCUGAUGCACAACCAUCUUAGAGAGGUGCCGGGGGCGGAAAGGCUCGCAAGUGUAACCCGCAUCUCGGCGCUCUCCGCGAUCCUGCACCGCCGUGAACACCAAUGUGCCGAGAUGCUACAGAAGGGCUGAUGGAAAGGUGACUCCUGGAGCAUAACGGCUUCAAAGCUCCGUUGCUGUGGCGCUGCUGAAGUACGGAGCGGAGCAGCCGCAGCCCCCGCGCACCCCCAGCCCCAGGGUGCUCUCCCUCAGAGCUCUCAGCCAGCGGCGGUAAUGGCAUUAACUGGGGACUUCGCAAAACUCACGUGUGACAGGACAGCUCCUACAUCAAAGCAGUUCUUAAAAAUAGCAAGAGACCAAACCCGAGUGAAAAAGCUACACCAGACUACGUCUUAAAAAUUUAACACACAAUUUAAGAGAUGUCUUAUGAGCAAUUACAUAUUUAUCAGCAUGGUUAGUUCAAAUCAUUACAAUGAUUGCAAUAUUGCCAGAAAGCAGUAAACAUAAAGAAUAAAAUAGAAUAAACCUA